UACGUAGGGGGCGAGCGUUGUCCGGAUUUAUUGGGCGUAAAGAGCUCGUAGGCGGCUUGGCAAGUCGGGUGUGAAAACUCCAGGCUCAACCUGGAGACGCCACUCGAGACUGCUAUGGCUAGAGUCCGGUAGGGGACCACGGAAUUCCUGGUGUAGCGGUGAAAUGCGCGAUAUCAGGAGGAACACCGAGUGGAAGGCGGCCGUGCACUGGCGAACGCG
rnacentral:rRNA from 1 species